UAGCGUAGGGGGCAAGCGUUGUUCCGGGAUUAUUGGGCGUAAAGAGCUCGUAGGCGGUUUGGAUAGUCGGGUGUGAAAACUCCGAGCUCAACUCGGAGACGCACCCGAUACUGCCAUACUAGACGUCCGGAGUGAGGGGAGCGGGAAUUCCUGGUGUAGCGGUGAAAGUGCGCAGAUAUCAGGAGGAACACCGGUGACGAAGGCGCGUGCCUCUGGGCCGGUACUGACGUGAGGAGCGAAAGCGUUGGUAGCAAACAGG
rnacentral:rRNA from 1 species